rnacentral:misc_RNA from 1 species
CCGUCAAUUCCUUUAAGUUUUAACCUUGCGGCCGUACUCCCCAGGCGGUCAACUUCACGCGUUAGCUUCGUUACCAAGGAAUUGCUUCCCCGACAACCAGUUGACAUAGUUUAGGGCGUGGACUACCAGGGUAUCUAAUCCUGUUUGCUCCCCACGCUUUCGUGCAUGAGCGUCAGUGUUAGCCCAGGGGGCUGCCUUCGCCAUCGGUGUUCCUCCAAAUAUCUACGCAUUUCACUGCUACACUUGGAAUUCCACCCCCCUCUGCCACACUCCAGUCUGCCAGUUACAAACGCAGUUCCCAGGUUAAGCCCGGGGAUUUCACAUCUGUCUUAACAAACCGCCUGCGCACGCUUUACGCCCAGUAAUUCCGAUUAACGCCUGCACCCUACGUAUUACCGCG